rnacentral:rRNA from 1 species
GUCCGUCGACGUACGUCGUACGAGAGUUAGUAGUACUAUGGCUCAGAACGAACGCUGGCGGCGCGUUUAAGCAUGCAAGUCGAGCGGCAAGGGCCUUCGGGCCCCUAGAGCGGCGGACGGGUGAGUAACACGUGGACAAUCUGCCCCCCGGCCCGGGAUAGCCCCAGGGAAACCUGGAUUAAUACCGGAUGAGACGGGACCCGCGAAGGCGGGACCCGGGAAAGGCGCUGCGGCGCCGCCGGGGGAUGAGUCUGCGUCCCAUUAGCUAGACGGCGGGGUAACGGCCCACCGUGGCGACGAUGGGUAGCCGGCCUGAGAGGGUGGACGGCCACAUUGGAACUGAGACACGGUCCAGACUCCUACGGGAGGCAGCAGCUAAGAAUCUUCCGCAAUGGGCGAAAGCCUGACGGAGCGACGCCCCGCGUGAACGAAGAAGGCCGUGAGGUUGUAAAGUUCUUUUCGGGAGGGGGAACAACCGUGGCAGGGAAUGGCCGCGGGAUGACGUGAAUCCCGGAAUAAGCCCCGGCUAACUACGUGCCAGCCGCAGC